rnacentral:misc_RNA from 1 species
ACAUACUGCGAAGAGGCCAGGCUGCAACUAAUUAUAGGCACUGACUCCAACGCACAUCACAUCCUAUGGGGAAUGAAAACAACAAACGAAAGAGAAGCAGCCUCCGGGACCAUCUCCAACUGGCACGUAUCCGAUGAGGCAUCGUGCUCAGAUCACAGAUGGAUACGCUUCGAUGUGCAGGUAAAUACAGUUCCAGCAACCCCUAGGCGUAACCCACGCAAAACCGACCGGGUGCACUACGCUGAGAGACUGGAGCAGCUGCUCAGUGAGCAGGCAUGCCCAGACCGGCUUGUUGGAACAGGACAUAUAGAACAGCAGGUAGAUACGUUGACUAGCAACAUUAUAAACUCCUACCAAACUGCAUGUCCCUUAUCAUU